rnacentral:rRNA from 1 species
GACGAACGCUGGCGGCGUGCUUAACACAUGCAAGUCGAACGGAAAGGCCCUGCUUUUGUGGGGUGCUCGAGUGGCGAACGGGUGAGUAACACGUGAGUAACCUGCCCUUGACUUUGGGAUAACUUCAGGAAACUGGGGCUAAUACCGGAUAGGAGCUCCUGCUGCAUGGUGGGGGUUGGAAAGUUUCGGCGGUUGGGGAUGGACUCGCGGCUUAUCAGCUUGUUGGUGGGGUAGUGGCUUACCAAGGCUUUGACGGGUAGCCGGCCUGAGAGGGUGACCGGCCACAUUGGGACCGAGAUACGGCCCAGACUCCUACGGGAGGCAGCAGGGGGGAAUAUUGCACAAUGGGCGGAAGCCUGAUGCAGCAACGCCGCGUGCGGGAUGACGGCCUUCGGGUUGUAAACCGCUUUCGCCUGUGACGAAGCGUGAGUGACGGUAAUGGGUAAAGAAGCACCGGCUAACUACG